GGAGAGAUGGCUGAGUGGACGAAGGCGACGGAUUGCUAAUUCGUUGUACAGUUGUACCGAGGGUUCGAAUCCCUCUCUUUCCG
rnacentral:tRNA from 2 species